AUCCAUUCGGGCCAGCAUAAAUACUAAAAUUGGAACGAUACCGAGAAGACAGCAUGGGCCCGCUAUACACCAGAUGACACGCAAUUUGUGAAUGACAUUUCAUAUUUUU
rnacentral:snRNA from 1 species